UCCCUGGAGGACUAGUGGUUAGGCCUCGGCGCUCUCACCAGAGCGGCCCGAGUUUGAUUCCCGGCCAGGGAA